AACAACAGGGUCAUCUCGAUCCGAUCGAAGUCAUCGAAGAUGCAGCCUAUUUAACGCUUCUAGCGUAAUCGUGACCACGUAUGUCUAGUAAUCGCGUGUAUGUGUAUAGGCGGGGCAUAAUAAUUCAUCAGGACGCUCUUUCUGCAUGGAAGUCGAAGGCCGCUGUGGCGCGCGGGUCUGUGGUCGCGGCCACCUCGAUAUGGGCUGCGAUACGAUAUCGAGAUGGUUAAAAGACACGCGUGUGCCACGUACGACCAGUUUCCGACGACAGUGGCGUAUUUCUUAUAUCGUUUAACCCUUUGGCCCAAGAAUAUACUAACGAAGAUAUAGUUGCAGGUGAUUUAAAAAAUAAAGACAGAUGAUGAAUUGUGAUUCGGACGCUCGAUUCUAACUCGUGCAAACCUUGUAUAACUAUCUAAAAUAUGAUCAAUAUAAUAUUAACAGCGAUGAAUACCAAAACUAUUCAUUAUAUUAAUAGAAUUAUAAUUAAUGGAGGAAGAUUGAACGAAAGCAUCGGCCUACGCCAUUGAAUACUUGCGUCCUUGCGGUUGGAAUUACGCACGAGCUCUCCCUGUCCUGGCUGGAACAGGUACGUAAGUAUCACGAUUUUUUUCCCUUAGAAUCUAGGCUUAUAAUGUGCCGUCUUAAAGCAAAUGACGGCUACCAGAGAAAAUAAUCGUCGACCACUUCAAACCGGCACGCAUUGACGUUCCGGUCAGCGAUAAUUAAUGUACUUUACAAAGUAGAGAGAAAGGGAGAGAGGGAGAGAGAACGAAAAGAGAUCUCGUAAAUGAAGAGACGACGUCGAUCGAGACUAAGUUAAAAAGCAGGAGCGAUUCGUAUUGACAUCACGCACCAACGACGAUUCUAUAUACGACUGUGUCGGUCUUUUCUCAUUGGAUAUGCACGUGACGUCAGGCAUGUGUCACACUGGUGUGCGGCUGAACAAGUGAAAACUGUCCAUCGCGGAGGACGUUUUUCUGCUCUAUUGUCACAGCGAACGGAACGAAGUUUCUCGACUUCCAUCAUGGUAGAAGAUACUAGUUAAUAAUAUUUUUUAAAUAUUAUUCUAAUAUCGUUUCUCUUUUACAUCCUUUUAAGUGGAAGAACUACGAACUACGUGGACCACGAAUCUUCCGAGAUGAUAGUUUUUAUCGAAGAUCUUUCUCUGUCUGUUUUACUAAAUUUUUAUGUGAAAAAUCGGAGAUGUCACGAUGAGAGUCGAAAGCACAACGGCAGACAAUACAAGUGAUAGAAGACUGUGAGUCUUAAAUUACAUGGAUCGUAAAUCGACAGCGAACGCGAUUGUUCGGCGAUUGCGUUUAAAUCACCGUUCGACAUGUCGUCGGUGAUUUAAAUGCGUGGCCGAAGAACGAAAAGCGACAGAUAAAUAGAGCGAUCGGAGAACAGGUGGACACUCGUGGGUGGUAUGUCUGUAAUGCGAUGAACACGUGACCCCGACAAGGACGUCGCCAUUUUGAGGAAAAAUAAGCGCGGCAAGUUUAUACGUGACAUCUCUCAUAUCUCUCAAUCAUCCAAUUUUCUUCUAAAAAAAAAAAAAAAUUAUCACUUUUAUUAUACAUUGUGUAAAAGUUAUAAAAGAAAAAUAAACGUAUUGCUUAAAACAAAA